CCGCAGCUAACGCAUUAAGUGCCCCGCCUGGGGAGUACGGCCGCAAGGCUAAAACUCAAAGGAAUUGACGGGGGCCCGCACAAGCGGCGGAGCAUGCGGAUUAAUUCGAUGCAACGCGAAGAACCUUACCAAGGCUUGACAUGUUCUCGAUCGCCGUAGAGAUACGGUUUCCCCUUUGGGGCGGGUUCACAGGUGGUGCAUGGUUGUCGUCAGCUCGUGUCGUGAGAUGUUGGGUUAAGUCCCGCAACGAGCGCAACCCUCGUUCCAUGUUGCCAGCACGUCGUGGUGGGGACUCAUGGGAGACUGCCGGGGUCAACUCGGAGGAAGGUGAGGACGACGUCAAAUCAUCAUGCCCCUUAUGUCUUGGGCUUCACGCAUGCUACAAUGGCCGGUACAAUGGGUUGCGAUACUGUGAGGUGGAGCUAAUCCCAAAAANCCGGU
rnacentral:rRNA from 1 species